rnacentral:rRNA from 1 species
AUGAACCUGUCGUUUCCCCGAAAGCCACUAAUACUGGUAGGAGAAAAAGAUCCAAGUCUAAGGUGUGGGAAGAAGAAGCAACUCGGUGGAAAAAGUACUGCAGGAACAAGCCACUUGAGGCGACAUCUUAAGAUUUGCUCGGUACGGGCUAUAGUUGAGGGUGGUUGUCAAAAUGGCCCAUCUUCACAGCCUAGUUCAUCAGCCUCAAAGACGUGCAGCUUUGAUCAAGAGAAGUCCCUUGAGGUGCUUACUAGAGCAGUAAUCUCGAACUCCAACUCUUGCAGUUCUCCAAUUAUUGGCAGUGCAACUUUUAGAAACUUUUUGACCGGGAUUAAUCCUAUGUUUAACAUGGUGCCACAAGCCAUCACGGAAGAAAGAAUUCUUGGUAUUUUCAAAGAGAACAGUUGGAACUGA